UCCUCGGUAGCUCAACGGUAGAGCGCUCGCCUGUUAAGCGAAGGGUUCCUGGUCCGAAUCCAGGCCGAGGAGCCA
rnacentral:tRNA from 1 species